UACGGAGGGAGCAAGCGUUACUCGGAAUUAUUGGGCGUAAAGGGCGCGUAGGCGAUUUGAUAAGUCUCGUGUGAAAGCCCAGAGCUUAACUCUGGAAUGGCACGGGAUACUGUUGAAUUUGAGUUCCGGAGAGGAAGGCAGAAUUCCCGGUGUAGCGGUGAAAUGCGUAGAUAUCGGGAGGAAUACCAGCGGCGAAGGCGGCCUUCUGGACGGAUACUGACGCUGAGGCGCGAAAGCCAGGGGAGCAAAC
rnacentral:rRNA from 1 species